AAGGGGGAGGUGCUGCAGCGCGGGAAUAAUCAAUGUGGGUGGAGUGUCUGCUUAAAGGUAGAGCGAACGGUGUUCGUGAUGCACCAUCAAUAACUCUCGGAGGCGAAUGAUAGGCUUUCAUUAGCUGCAAGAGACCACCACACAACAUCCUGGAGACUGAGGGAGGAGCACGGGAGCAGUCAGCAGAGGGCCGCGUCCAGACAGCUAUACAUAGUUCACCACAGUUCGCUUUGGGAAAGGGGCGCUGUGCAGAAAUUAGUUUCUUCAAUAAACUCCGCUUUCUUCCCUGCAUAUGCAGGUGUAUUUUUACUACAAUCAAUUGAAACACCUUGACUGCAUUGAUCUCCAUUUAACUAAAUAUGUGACUUCAAAAACCAAUUGGCUGCACCAGUGAUGAUGUUGUGUGUCAUACUAAAGGGCCUGUAAUGGAGAUGCUACACUGAGUCUGCGUCCUAAAGUGUCAAGAGGACGAUAAUGCAAGGAUGUAAUGCUGAAGCUUUAUAAGGCAUUGGUCAGACUGCACUUGGAGUAUUGUGAACAGUUUUGGGCCCCUUAUCUAAGAAAAGAUUUGCUGGCUUUGGAGAGGGUACAGAAGAGGUUCACGAGAAUAUUCUAGGAAUGAAAGGAUUAACAUAUGAGGGAUUUUCAUGUCUGUGGGUCUGUACUCAGUCUAGGCCCAUGCUUUGAUUCUUUUUUCCCUUUCCAUAGAUGCUGUCCAACCUGCUGAGUUCCUCCAAUAUUUUGUGUAUCUUACACUGGAUUUCCAGCAACUGCAGAUACUUUUGCAUUUAAUAUUAAAAGGCUGUAUUUUUAGCAAUAGUUUAUUUGCUACCAGUCAACAAGUGUGUUAACUUAUUAUGCCUCUUGACAUUGGAUAAUCAUCCCUGAGAACAAUAUGGGCCAGGUAUCACAAACUCAGAUUAUUUAAUCACAAUCACAUUGCUGUGUGUAGAAAGUCUAUGCAAGAAUUAGCAGUGCAUUUCCUACAUUACCAAUGUAACUUUGUUUCAUUGAUUGUAAAGAGUCUUGGAUGUUCUGAAGUUGGGAAAGGUGCUACAUAAGUGGAAGUUCUUUCUUUUCUCCUUAACUAAGGAAAUCACUUGCAUGGGUUUAAACUGGCAUUGCAGCAUGGCAAUAGGUGGUAGGUUGGAGGACAAGAAAGAUUGUGUGACUCAUAAGAUGGAGAGAGAGGACAACAAGAGACAGGCUAAUAAUUAUUGUCAGACUGACUGUUGUUGCCUUUACAGAAACCUGGUUGCAUGAGUGAGAAGACUAGCAGCUCAAUGCUCCUGGAUUUUGAUGCUUUAAAUGUGAUAAGAGAGGGUGAGAGCUAAAAGAGGUAGAAGGGUUGCACUACUGACAAAGGAGAAUGUGACAGCAGAACUCGUGAGGAUAAGAGUUUGUUUACAGGAGGCAAUUUGGGUGCACUCAAAUAUAAAACAGGUGCAUUUAUGCUGAUGUGAUUAUAGUAUAGCCACCAAGAGGUGGAGGAACAGAUAUAUCAACAGAUUUUAGAAAGAUGCAGAAACAAAAGUUGUUGUAGUGGGUGACUUUAAUUUCCCUAAUAUUGAUUGGAACUACUUUAAUAUAAGCAGCAUAGAUGCGGCAAGAAUUCUUCAGUGCAUCCAAGAAUGUUUCUUGAAGCAGUAUGUGGAGAGUCCAAUUAAAAAACAUACUGGACCUGGGUUUUGGAAAUGACUUGUUAGUGGGUGAACAUUUUAGGAACAGGGACCAGAAUUCAUUAUAUUUUAAGAUAGUUAUGAGUAAGGAUAAAAUUGGAUUUUGUGGGAACAUACUGAAUUGGGGGAGGGCAAAUUACAACAGGAUCGAAUAAGUGCUAGGGGUCAUUGAUUGGGAGAAUUAAAGACCAGCAAGGAUGGUAAGGUAAGGGAACCUUGGAAAACCUGAAAUAUCUUACAUUGAGUCAGGAAGAAAAGAAAGUCAUAUGUAAGUUUUAAGAAGCUAAAAGUAGAAGGGGUUGUAGUGGAAUGUAAUGAUUACAGGUAAAUGCUCAAGUAGGUGAUUAGGAAGGCCAAAAGGGACCAUGGAGCAGGAUCAACAAGAAUCCCAGGACAUUUUAUACUUGAAUUAAGUAAGUAGAAGGUAGGCCCACUCAAGAAACAUUAAAAAAAACUCCAGCACAAUACAGGCCCUUCGGCUCACAAUGCUGUGAUGCACAUGUACUUACUUUAGAAAUUAUCUAGGGUCACCCAUAACCCUUAGAAUAAAGGAGAGAAUUUGUGCUUAGUGUCAGAGCAAGUGGCUGAGGAUCUAAAUUAGUAACUUAUGUUGAUAUUUAUUGAGGAAAAGGUUUUGAAUGAUAGUGAAGGCAGAAUGGGGUAUGCCAAUAUGCUGGGAGAUUUUGAGAUUAAGGAGGAGAUAGUGCUUGACCUUCUGCGAAGCAUUUAGGUGGGUAAAUUUCCAGGGCCUGAUGGCAUAUAUUCCAGAAUAUUGAAAAUAGCAAGUGAGUACUUUGACAAACAACUUUCUGUCCUCACCAGCAACAGGCAAGAUCCCAGUGAACUGGAGAUUAGCAAAUGUAGUCCCUUUGUUCAAGAAGGGAAGUGGGGAUAUUCCAGGUGUUUAGGCCAGUAAACCUCACGUCAGUGUAGGGAAGCUAUUGGAGAGGAUAAUGAGGGAUAGGAUUUAUACACAUUUGGAAAAGUAUGGCUUGCUUAGACAGGCAACGUGGCCUUGUGUGGGGCAGAUAAUGCCUUACAAACCUAAUCCAGUUUUUUAGGGAGGUGACAAGGAAGCUUGGUGAGAGUAAGGCGAUGAACUUUACCUACAUGGACCUUAAGGCAAUUACUCCACCAUUUAGCACAUUUACAAGUAAACGCAAAGUACAUUGCAGAUGCUGCGGACCAAGCAACACGGAGGAACUCAGCAGGUCGGGCAGCAUCCGUGGAAACAAGCAGUCAACAUUUCGGGCUGAGACCCUUCGUCAGGACUGAAGAGGGAGGGGGCAG